rnacentral:rRNA from 1 species
GACGAACGCUGGCGGCGUGCUUAACACAUGCCAGUCGAACGGAAAGGCCCUGCUUUUGUGGGGUGCUCGAGUGGCGAACGGGUGAGUAACACGUGAGUAACCUGCCCUUGACUUUGGGAUAACUUCAGGAAACUGGGGCUAAUACCGGAUAGGAGCUCCUGCUGCAUGGUGGGGGUUGGAAAGUUUCGGCGGUUGGGGAUGGACUCGCGGCUUAUCAGCUUGUUGGUGGGGUAGUGGCUUACCAAGGCUUUGACGGGUAGCCGGCCUGAGAGGGUGACCGGCCACAUUGGGACUGGGAUACGGCCCAGACUCCUACGGGGGGCAGCGGUGGAGAAUAUUGCACAAUGGGCGGAAGCCGGAUGCAGCAACGCCGCGUGCGGGAUGACGGCCUUCGGGUUGUAAACCGAUUUCGCCUGUGACGAAGCGUGAUGGACGGUAAUGGGUAAAGAAGCACCGGCUAACUAGGU